CGGAAACGACGGCGUUUUGUCAGAGAAAGCUUUGGUUGGUACUACUUUGUUUAGCCACAUUUGGAAGCUCCAACGGUUUUUGUGCAAAAAACGACAAAGCUUGGUGUUGCAGAUAAUGUGGUCAUGCAUUCCUUAAUUUUAUUGUCUUUUGGCCAAGUGCUGCAACAACCUUGCAUUUUACGUUUGAAUCAUCUUGCAUUUUUGGGGAAGCAAGAGUGACUUGAUGUACUACUGCUUGAACGUUGCCGAGCCUUUUCUCCGUUGAUUGUAAUUCUCUUGAGAGGUGGAGAAGAUCAUACGAGAGGAAAGUGGAUAUAAUGGGGGCUAUUGGUGAGGAAGACCUGAGGAAGUGGGAGAAGAUGCAGGGAGCAAGUGCUCGCGAAGAGAAGAUUCUAGUUUUGGUCAGGUUGAGGCCCUUGAAUGAGAAGGAGCUUGCAUCGAAUGAAGUAGCAGACUGGGAAUGCAUCAAUGACACCACCAUUUUAUACCGAAAUACGCUGCGGGAAGGGUCUACAUUUCCAAAUGCCUAUUCAUUCGACAAAGUAUUUCGAGGUGAUUGCCCUACUAGAAAGGUUUAUGAAGAAGGGGCCCAAGAAAUUGCUCUUUCAGUUGUGAAUGGUAUCAACUCGAGUAUUUUUGCAUAUGGUCAAACAAGCAGUGGGAAAACGUACACUAUGAAUGGUAUCACAGAGUUCACAGUAGCGGAAAUAUUUGACUAUAUACACAGGCAUGAGGAAAGAGCUUUCGUUGUUAAGUUUUCAGCGAUUGAGAUAUACAAUGAAGCUGUUCGAGACCUUCUAAGCACAGAUAAUACUCCACUUAGGCUACUAGAUGAUCCUGAGCGGGGGACUAUUGUAGAGAAAAUCACCGAGGAAACAUUGAGGGAUUGGAGCCAUUUGAAAGAGCUUCUUUCUAUUUGUGAAGCUCAAAGACAGAUAGGGGAGACCUUAUUGAAUGAGAAAAGCUCUAGAUCACAUCAAAUUAUUAGAUUGGCAAUUGAAAGUUCUGCUCGGGAAUUCUUAGGCAAAGGAAACUCAACCACCCUUGCAGCUAGCGUGAAUUUUGUGGACUUGGCAGGGAGCGAGCGUGCAUCUCAAGCAUUAUCAGCUGGGACAAGAUUAAAAGAAGGCUGCCACAUCAAUCGCAGUUUGCUAACUCUUGGAACUGUUAUACGCAAGCUAAGGUUGUCUAGAAGACAUGGACACAUCAACUACAGAGAUUCUAAGCUGACACGCAUACUGCAGCCUUGCUUGGGUGGUAAUGCUAGAACUGCCAUUAUUUGCACUUUGAGCCCUGCAAGAACCCAUGUUGAGCAAACUAGAAACACCCUUUUGUUUGCUUGUUGCGCAAAAGAAGUGACUACAAAAGCGCAGGUCAAUGUAGUCAUGUCAGACAAGGCCUUGGUUAAGCAUUUGCAAAAAGAGCUAGCUAGAUUGGAGAGUGAGCUGAGAACACCUGGCCCUCCUUCCUCAGCUUCUGAUUAUGUAGCAUUACUCAAAAAGAAAGAUCUUCAGAUUGAAAAGAUGGAUAAGGAAAUUAGAGAGCUGAAAAAGCAACGAGACCUUGCUCAAUCACGGGUUGAGGACUUAUUGAGGAUGGUUGGAAAUGAGAAUGACUCAAGUCAAAAUACAGAUAGUCAUCAUCCUAAAUGGCAAUCCCGGGAAAUGUCAGAUGAUGAAUAUUCAGUAUCACAGUCAUCAGGCAUUGCCGAUCCUCAUUAUUCGAAUGGCAUCAGAAAGUUCAGUAAUCCACAUUUUGCAGACAGAGAUGGUGAGAGCAGUCCUGAGGAGUCAUACAGUCAGCUUCCAGAGAACUCUGAAGACCAGAGUCUAGAGGAUACUGCUGAAGGAACUGCACAAAACACGGAUGACUAUUGCAAAGAGGUUCGCUGUAUUGAAAUGGAAGAGUCAAACAGGGACAAGAACCGUGGAUCCCUUUCAUCAUCGACUGUUGGAAAUGAAGGAACAUUCUCCUUGACAUUAGAUAGGAAUACAAGUGUAGCUGGUCAAGAAAUAAUAACCCCUAUGGAUGCAGCUAGAGAUAGCAGUAGGAUGCAAGAUGUGCGAACAGCAGAUGUCUCAAGUUCUAGAAGCCUUAAGUUAACCAGGAGUUGGAGUUGUAGAGAAAGUCUCAUGACUGGCUCAUCUUCUCCUGAUAUAGGAGACAGAACCCCGACAAAUGGGUUUGAGAAAAGCUUUCCUGGGAGACCUGAAGGUUUUGGGAGGAAAUUUUCUCUGUUAAGUUAUGAUUCCAGCAUAAGAUUAUCACGAAAUGAUUCUCAGUCUUCCAUUGGGAGUGCUGUGGAUGAGCUAGGGGCACAGAGUACUGCAGACGGUGAUAUCACUAGCGUCCAUACUUUUGUCACAGGACUAAAGAAAAUGGCCAAAAAGCUUGAGUUUGAUAAGCAAAAUGUCAACAGUGAGGAGCAGGACCAUGAAACAGGAGCAGCUGGAAAGUUUGAGAAGAGUGGGAAAGAUGUAGGAAUUGAUCCAACGCUUGACGUAUCGGAAACUCCUGAUUGGCCUCUGGAAUUUCAGAGACAGCAAAAGGCCAUAUUUGAACUUUGGGAGGCUUGCUGCAUAUCAGUGGUCCAUAGAACCUACUUUUACUUGCUAUUCAAAGGUGAUCCUACAGAUUCCAUUUACAUGGAGGUAGAGCUCAGAAGGCUUUCUUUCCUAAAGGAUACUUAUUCCCAUAGAGAUCAGGCUGUGGAAGAUGGUCAGACUUUGACUUUGUCUUCAAGUAAGAGAGCUAUUGCUCGUGAGAGACAGAUGUUAAGCAAGCUGAUGCAGAGACGAUUUUCGGAAAAAGAGAGGAAGCGACUCUUUGAGAAGUGGGGUAUUGCACUGGACUCAAAGCGCAGGAGGCUGCAGCUGGCCAACCGCCUAUGGAGUAACACAGAGGAUAUGAACCAUGUAACCGAGAGUGCUUCCAUUGUCGCAAAGCUGGUCAGGUUUGCAGAGCAAGGGCAGGCCCUCAAGGGAAUGUUUGGGCUUAGUUUCACUUCCCCAAAGGCUAAGCGUAGAUCAUUUGGAUGGAAAAAUAGCACGGCAUCUCUUAUAUAAAUAAUAAACUUGUUGCUCAUAUUUGUUCCACUAGAGGCAGUUUGUGAUGUUAGAUAGGCCAUAUAGGAAUCAUCUAAUGGAUUGCUUAUUAAUAUUAGCGGAUUAUAUAAAUCUCAGUUGAAGUGCUCAGCAUGUUAGAAAUCUAUGCUGGGUUUUGGUUUGUAAAACGGUUCUGGCUGUGUUGUAUCUGUAGCGAAAUGUAACAUGGAUCUUUUCGUUACUAAUUGUGCUAUGAAAUCUAAGCUUUAAUGCA